GCUUCAUAUGAAAAGCUUAUAGAAAAGCUUCCUCCAAUAUUUCACAUCGGCUGGGUGCCUUUUUGGCACUGGUGGCAGUGGCUGCUAAGGAAAAAGCUACUGUGCAUAUGCAGGAAAGCAAUUUUGCAAGCUCCAGCCCAGGGCACAGCAGUGCACACUUUGUGCAGUGGACCUGUGUGUGUGCAGCAUGCAUGGAGUGACACUGAAUCUCGAGGCGUGACAUCUGAUCUCUCUGCUAUUAUCAAGGCUCCCAUUUACUACAGCCACCAUUGUCUCAAAAAUCCUUAUGACGACCUCGUUGUGUAGAAAGGCACUUGUCAAAGUAAGCACCUUGAAUGGGAGCUGGGGCAGAAAUGGUGGGUAAAGCCCAGCAAAUAAAGAGCUUUGGCUGGCACUGACCUGCGGCUAGAGGUAAAAUGAACAGGAGGAGGAGAGGUGCUGCUCAGCAUUUGUACACCAUGAGAGCAGCAUGUGACUGUACUGGCAGAAGGCAGAGAAGAGAAGAACCUACUGUCACAGAGGAGACAAUGCUGCAAAGAGAGUACACUGCUGAAAGGCAAUCAUUAAAAAUUUGACCAGCUGUGACAGGGAAGACAUCAGGUCUCAUUUGGAUUGCCAUCCCUGGGCUUCUCCGCUGAAGCUCAGAGUCCUGGGACCCCUGUGGCUUUCCUGCUUUGGGGACACCAGCACAAUAAAGGUCGUGAGUAAAGAACAAAUGCAUUAUUACUGUUUAAGAAAUCUUCCUGAAUAUGCAAGAUUUUCUUUCUCAGAAGUGAAUGAAUUCCUCAUGAAAGGUGCUGUAUGGACAACUCCUUUUUAUCUUCACAAGUCCUGGAGAAACAGCAGUGGAUUCCCCUGCCUUACUUCACCCCUAGGCUGGUCCUCUCCAUGUGUCUCUCACAUAAGGAACUGUUUGAUUGCUCUCCAUUUCUGUUUCGAAAAUCCAAAGAAAUGGCAUUCAGAAGGAAGUUAAAAAAGGGGGAGAACAAAGGAACACAGUUUCUUGUACAAACUUUUGCAGACCACAGUUGUGGAUGUCCCUCCUGAAAUGGCACUUUCUGCUCUAUUCGUGCCAGAAGGCAAUUGGAACUUGUGUGAUUCUCCAUCCUCCUAGCACUUCAUAGAGACAUCUGACCAGAGACUGCUGAUGCACAGGCAGCUGGAAUAUGUGCUGUGGGAAUGAGUAAACAGAAGGGCCAGAAAUCCUCACUCUAGGGAACUGUGGAACUGAUACUGGAAGACUGUCAAGUCAGAAUAUCCUUAGAAUGAUAGGACAUGAGUUCAAGCCACACAUAAAUCCAGAUUUCAGAGUCUUGACCUCAGGUAAGACUCCGGAUUACAUGAAAUUUGUAAGAAAAGUACAGGAAAUCUACAGUGAUCUCAUGUAUUUAAAACCUGUUCUCAGACAAAGUAAGACAAAUUAGUUUCACCAGAAAAAAAAAAUCCUGGACAGGAUUACCAGAAUUUUGAAUGAAGAAAAUUUCAAAAAUCCAAGUUUAAGAAAUUACUUUACUUGAAAACUCUUUCAUGCUGAGGCAGGAUCUGAAUCUAAUUUUCACAGCCCUACAAAAUUAUUCUACAUAUAGAAGCUUAUCACAUACAUAAUUACCUUAUUCUAGUUUGUAUUCUAGAACAAACAUGUCUGCAUGAGACAAUUAUUCAGUAAGAAUGGUGCUUUUAUUCUUGAAUAAUUCCAUGUGCAGUCAAAGCCCUCAGUCAAACCAUCACAACUCUGUAUGUAGAUGAAUUGUCAGUCUGUCUCUGCUUGCACUUACAGAAAAUGUGUAUCUCUGUUACUAAAUGCAGCUGACAGAUCUGAAAUCGUCACGUUUGUGGAGUAGGCAUAGCUCUUACAAGCUCCCACCCUUAUUGGCCUACUAUUUCUGUGUCCUUUGGAGGUGUUACGAACUGCAUAUCCUUCAUAUUUUGUGUUCAAUGUCAUUAGCAAACUAAUAAAUGCUAUGGAGAGAAGGAAAAGUUUUUUCUUCCCUUGUUUGCCAAAAAGCAAGAGGAUUUUUGCCAAAAGGAAGAGUUUUUGAGUGUGACAAUGCUCCAUCAACUUUAUAUAUAUGAGCCCAGGAGAAGAAAACUGAGUUGCUUUCCUUUGAGAAGGGGAAGGAAAUAAAUAUUUGUCCUAGUUCACUAAAAAGCUCUUACAUAUUAGACCUUUUAACCAUAAAGACUUUAUUUUCUUCAUGCUUGUUUUUGUCACCUAUGUUUGCCUAAUUUUGUCAUGAGUACUCUCUCAAAGCCUUAAUAAAACAUUAAUGUCCAAGCCCCAGAA